AUUAGCUCAGUUGGUAGAGCAACUGACUCUUAAUCAGUGGGUCCCGGGUUCGAAUCCCUGAUG
rnacentral:tRNA from 2 species